UACGAAGGGGGCUAGCGUUGCUCGGAAUCACUGGGCGUAAAGAGCGUGUAGGCGGUCCGGUAAGUCCGCUGUGAAAGUCGGGGGCUCAACCCUCGAAUGCCGGUGGAUACUGUCGGGCUAGAGUGCGGAAGAGGCGAGUGGAAUUCUCGGUGUAGCGGUGAAAUGCGUAGAUAUCGAGAGGAACACCUGCGGCGAAGGCGGGUUGCUGGGCUGACACUGACGCUGAGGCGCGAAAGCCAGGGGAGCGAACGGG
rnacentral:rRNA from 1 species